rnacentral:tRNA from 1 species
GCCGGGGUAGUCUAGUCUGGUAGGGCGCAGGCCUGGAAAGCCUGUGAACCUUUUGGUUCUCGGGAGUUCAAAUCUCCCCCCCGGCG